AUGAAGAGUUUGAUCCUGGCUCAGGAUGAACGCUAGCGGCAGGCUUAACACAUGCAAGUCGAGGGGCAGCGCGUGAGUAGCAAUACUUAUGGCGGCGACCGGCGCAAGGGUGCGUAACGCGUGAGCAACAUGCCCGUCUCAGGAGAAUAACCCGGAGAAAUCCGGACUAAUGCUCCAUGGCUCUGUUGGGAGGCAUCUUCCGGCAGAUAAAGAUACGUCGGAGACGGAUUGGCUCGCGUGACAUUAGCUUGACGGCGGGGUAACGGCCCACCGUGGCUACGAUGUCUAGGGGAACUGAGAGGUUGGUCCCCCACACUGGAACUGAGACACGGUCCAGACUCCUACGGGAGGCAGCAGUGAGGAAUAUUGGACAAUGGGCGGAAGCCUGAUCCAGCCAUGCCGCGUGAAGGAAUACGGUCCUAUGGAUUUUAAACUUCUUUUGUACGUGAGCAAUAAGGGCCACGCGUGGCCCGAUGAGAGUAGCGUACGAAUAAGCAUCGGCUAACUCCGUGCCAGCAGCCGCGGUAAUACGGAGGAUGCGAGCGUUAUCCGGAUUUAUUGGGUUUAAAGGGUGCGUAGGCGGCGAGGUAAGUCAGCGGUGAAAUUCACGGGCCUAACCCGUGCCGUGCCGUUGAUACUGUUUCGCUGGAAUACGGUUGCCGUGGGAGGAAUGUGUAAUGUAGCGGUGAAAUGCAUAGAUAUUACACAGAACACCGAUUGCGAAGGCAUCUCACGAAGCCGCGAUUGACGCUGAUGCACGAAAGUGCGGGGAUCAAACAGGAUUAGAUACCCUGGUAGUCCGCACAGUAAACGAUGAUGACUAGCUGUAGGCGAUAGACAGUCUGUGGCUAAGCGAAAGCGAUAAGUCAUCCACCUGGGGAGUACGACCGCAAGGUUGAAACUCAAAGGAAUUGACGGGGGCCCGCACAAGCGGAGGAACAUGUGGUUUAAUUCGAUGAUACGCGAGGAACCUUACCCGGGCUCGAACGGUGCAGGAAUCGGCCAGAGAUGGCCGAGCUCUUCGGAGCCUGUAUCGAGGUGCUGCAUGGUUGUCGUCAGCUCGUGCCGUGAGGUGUCGGCUUAAGUGCCAUAACGAGCGCAACCCUUGCUGACAGUUGCCAUCAGGUUAUGCUGGGGACUCUGUCGGGACUGCCACCGUAAGGUGUGAGGAAGGGGGGGAUGACGUCAAAUCAGCACGGCCCUUAUGUCCGGGGCGACACACGUGUUACAAUGGUGGGUACAGCGGGAGGCUACGCGGCGACGCGGUGCAAAUCUCGAAAACCCAUCCCAGUUCGGAUCGGAGUCUGCAACUCGACUCCGUGAAGUUGGAUUCGCUAGUAAUCGCGCAUCAGCCAUGGCGCGGUGAAUACGUUCCCGGGCCUUGUACACACCGCCCGUCAAGCCAUGGAAGCCGGGGGUGCCUGAAGUCCGAGACCGCGAGGAUCGGCCUAGGGCAAAACUGGUAACUGGGGCUAAGUCGUAACAAGGUAGCCGUACCGGAAGGUGUGGCUGGAACACCUCCUU
rnacentral:rRNA from 1 species